CUCUGCUGAGGCCUGUGUAAGACAUGAGGGCAGAUGAAAUGCCAUCACACCAGAGACAGAUGGUAUAAAUGGGCUAGCAGGGCUAAGCUCUCUCUUUCUUUGAAGGGAAACAUACAUAAAAAUUGUUUUAAAAAAGGCUUGUUUUUUACUUUUGUGGAACCAAGAACAACAGAACCACAGAUGUUCAUAAGUAAAAAAAUAUAUAUAUAUUAAAUUAAAUAUGUUUAUGAAUGCUAUGACCUAAAGGCUGAUUUCUCUGUAGAUUCACACAGUUCAUCACUGAUACUUGUGUCACGUGACCACACUUGAAUUAGAGCAUCUAAUUAAUGUAUCAAUUUUCUGACUUUCUACCAAUACAGCUCCCCUUGUACAGUACCGAAAACACAAUCAUGAACUGAUACUGAAUUUGAAGUAACUGUUUAUUUCUUUGUGUUAAUCAAAUACAGUCUGAUGCAACAAACCACAUAGAAAUAGGAAAAGUCACUACAGUGUUCCACAUCAACUUUGGCCUUCAACCUUUGACCUCUCCAGACAAUGAAGUCCCACUUUUAAGCAAUGGUUUACAGUUACAACAUCUAACAGUAGACACACAAAAAACACACAUACUCAUGUUAAUGUGUCAAACACAUGCAUGUACAAGCGCACAUACAGUACACACACACACACACACACACACACACACACACACACUCUGUCUCUCAGAAUAUGAGAAGAGUCACAAGGCAAGGAAAUCAGUGAGCUGGUCUGGGUCAUUUGGUUAUUAUUAUAAUUUUUUUUUUUAGAAAAAAAAAAAAAAAAACAUAGUUAAAAGAGAAAACAUGUCAUUUCACACAGGGAGAGUUUCAGACCAAGUCCUUAAAUAUGGUUUAAAAAGGAAAAGAACAUAUACCUCAAAAUAUACACACUUUUUUUCUCCAGUUUUCAGAAGAAUGGUUAUAUUACAAAUGUCAAUCUCAGCACAAUUCACCACUACAUAUUAGCUUAUUACAUCUUAAAUAUGUCAUAAGAACAUUAGAUGUGCCAAUGUGCUUCCUGUCUACUGUAUUGGCAAAACACUCAGCUACACAUCUUUUUUUUUAAGUCAUGCAAAUGAACAGAAACAGGCAUAACCGUUCUUUACAUCAUGAAACAUUAUAAAUAGACAAAACUAUUCACCCAUAUACACUCUUAUCUUAUAUCUUAAGGAACUGAUAAUAGCUAGUGGAACUGAUUGCAGAGGGAAAAUAGGUUGCGAAGGGGUCCAAAAGAAUCUGAAAUUUACUCUUAGAAAUACACUGUAAUUUUCUUUGCUGAUGGUGUGGUACUAUCAAGGUACAUCUUUUGUACCUUUAGGUACAUAAUCGGAUCUUAAGGACCACUACUUUUAAAGUUUUACUAUAAAAGCUAAAGGUAAACCAUUCACCACUUGUGCAUCUUAAUAAAGAAAAGACACAUAAGACAUUUACAAUAUGUCCAUUAUUGAUGGAACCAGACUGGUGAUGAGGAAAAGUACAUUUUGGUACUUUUAUUUUCUGAGAAUGUUGCCUAGGAUUGUUGCUUGAAAUUUCUCAAAUGGCCCUAUUUGUGUGACAUUAUUGACUUUUAUUUAUUUAUUUAUUUAUUUAUUCAUAUAUACAAUCCUCAUUACCAGAGUGUUAGAACUUUACCCCCUAAAACCCAACACUGUAGAAAAACUAGAACAUAUGAGUAUGUUUGAUUAAUAUUUCAUCAUUCUGCAUUUUAAAAAAUAAAACCAAGCCACUGUGUUACUGACCAGAAAAUCAUGCGCCAGAUACUUUUGGGAAGGGACGAAUACAAAGAGAGCACCUCAUUGUAGCUAUAUAUGUGAGAAACUACACUUUUCAUGAAAUCACUUUCUCUCGUUGUAAUGGAAUAGUGAUAGUUUAACUCAACAUUAAGUAUGAUUGCUUCAAGGUUCUUUCACGACACCAAGCUGCCAUCUAGUGGUGAAAACCAAAGUCACCAGUUCACCGUUCUAGUGCGCUGACUCAUUAUUUUCAUUCAAACUCAUACAAGCCAGCAGCACAAACCACUCAGGGAAAUAAUAAUAGUGAACAAGAUGCCAUGUUUGGAACCACAGAAGUAGUCCAAGAGAGUGGGUAGUCAACCCCACUAUUCCACUUUCUGUGAUGCUGCUUGUGUACAGUAGUAUGAGAAUUGGAGCACAGCCUGCAUCUUUAUUAACAGCAUAGGAAUACUGUAAUUGGCUGACUUAGCUCUAGAGGAGGAAGGAGUUAUCAUCUGUUAUUUGUCAUCUAACCUAAAACAACCCUACAUCAGCAGAAAGGGCUGAUGGGUAAUGCUGAUGUCAUUAUAAUAAGCAGCUUAGUGUUUUUACUUUAAAAUGAACAAACUCUACUUUAAAUAACAUGCUAUAUGAGCAAUAUAUAGUUAAUGUGACUGUGGGAAAUACGCACACACACACACACACACACAGACACAAUCAUCAUGUCUUGUGAAUAGUCACCAGAUUAGUUGAGGGUUUGAAACCAAAACAUCCUUUUUUACCCCCAUCAUAACUUAUUUUCUUUACCCACACCUGCUUUCAUCUGAUUUCCCCAUAAUGCACCCCUGCUAUGAUGCUGCUCCUGAUAAUGUGUGUGAUAAUGUCAUCGUAAAGUAAACAAACACACACCGUACAAGUACAUUGCACACAGAUGACCCUCCUCCCUACCACCAUUUGAUCUCACACAAAAUGUGCUGUGGAUAAAGUGGAAGCGGAAACCUCCAUAAAAGCAGCUCAAAUUGUUUCCGUACAACAGGUGGUGCUAGUGAGCAGCCAGGCUACACAACGGAUCUCCAAAGGAUCUCUUUUACCAAAAUUUGCUGUUGACAACAUUUUGUGGGUAAGUUCACAGUUUUGAGUUGCUUUCUCCCCAUUUCCUGCCGAUGGUAAACACCAGAGAGCAGCUUUAAGGGUUUCUAUGGUAACAGGCAACUAGUGGUGUUCAGCUAAAUAGUGGUUUUGGUUGUACAGAGAAUAUUAGAGGAUACUGAGCUCAUUCUAAUCUAUGGAACACAAACAGCACAAAGCACAAACACACAAACACCUGGCAAAUAUACAAGUUUUGUUUUUCAAGAAGCAGAGCAUGUGUUUAAGUGUGUGUGCUGUUCCAAGACAAUGCAUGCAAUUGCACCGCUGUAUGAUUUGUGUAGGUAUCGAGUGUGUGUAAUACGUUAUCUGUGAUUUUGAUUAUUCCUCCAUUUGGAAUCGUAGUCACAAUGAGACAGUAUUGUUCAGAAUGACAUCAUCCUUGUCUGCACUUUUUCAGAUAGGCCUUUGUGUUCAGAAAGAAGACCAAGUGAAUAAUUA
ensembl:lncRNA